UACGUAGGUCGCAAGCGUUGUCCGGAUUUACUGGGCGUAAAGAGCGCGCAGGCGGCUGGUCAAGUCCGAUGUGAAAUCUCCCAGCUCAACUGGGAAACUGCAUCGGAAACUGAUCGGCUUGAAGAUGGGAGAGGGUAGUGGAAUUCCCGGUGUAGUGGUGAAAUGCGUAGAUAUCGGGGAGGAACACCAGUGGCGAAGGCGGCACUCUGGGCCGGUACUGACGCUGAGGAGCGAAAGCGUGGGUAGCAAACAGG
rnacentral:rRNA from 1 species